rnacentral:ribozyme from 12 species
AAGUAAAAAAAAAAAAAAAAACACAAGAAGCGGAAUCGAACGAAUUGAACUGUUUUUUUUUUUUUUUUUUUCGGCUUCUGUUUCGUCUCUU